GACGUAGGGGGCCAGCGUUGUUCGGAAUUACUGGGUGUAAAGGGUUCGUAGGCGGUGUGGCAAGUUGGGAGUGAAAUCUCUGGGCUUAACUCAGAGGCUGCUUCCAAAACUGCUGUGCUUGAGUAUGGGAGAGGCGCGUGGAAUUGCAGGUGUAGCGGUGAAAUGCGUAGAUAUCUGCAGGAACACCCGUGGCGAAAGCGGCGCGCUGGACCAUAACUGACGCUGAGGAACGAAAGCUAGGGGAGCAAACAGG
rnacentral:rRNA from 1 species